UGCCUAUAUUUUCCCGUUGCUCUCUCUCUCUCUCUCUCUGUCAUGCAGAAUAUGUUCUAAAAUAAGCCUUGGAAUGAUCUGAACUGACAUGGUUCAGGUGACUAAUCAGAGUUCAUAACAAAUUGUAGGAACUGAACACCAAGGAGUACUAUGAGACUAGCUACAAGAUUCUAAGUUCAUGACACUUCUGACGUUUCUGAAUGGCAUGUCCUUCUUUUGUUUCAGUUAAAAAAGCACAUCUCUUUCUCUGUACAUAUCAAAGAACAAAUUUUCAGAUUAUCAUUUUUGAACAAGCAUUAUAAAUCAAAAUUUUCACUAUUUUGGCUUGUUGAUGAACAGUAUCAAUACUUUCCGAUCCAUAGAACAGUACUUAAGAGGAUCACGGUUCCUCUGGUGCUCUUGUUCCAAGGACAAAUUCAUUCUUAACAAAAAAACGACUACAACAAAACAAUCUGAGUAGUGCUUUUUAACCACAGUGCUCAGUCGAUUUGAGAUUACAGUCUGAGUCAAAUUAAUACACAAAUAUGACAGAAACUGAAGUAAAAAAUGAAACUAAGCAAUCUCAGUUGACAAGUUGUUUUUUCGGACAAUUACGACUGUCGUGACCAACUUCCUGGCAAGUCCUGCACUUCCUUCUCUUUUCCUGUCCACUUUCAUUCUUUUUACCUGUGUCCCCAUGUCCCUUUAUUCUCUUGCUUCUUCCCUUAGUACAAAUAUCAGUUGGUGGGAGGACACCAACUUCAGUCGGAAUGGUACAACCAAUAAAAUCCUCGUGUUCUUUUUGCCUGGUAAUCGGUACAGCAGGAGCCAACUGAGAUAGAUGUACCUCCAUAUUGAGCAAAUUAGUUGUGAGGAAGUCCAUGCCUUCGUCAGAGUUCUUAGCCAUUUGAAUGAGAGCUUCAAACUUGUUGCUUGCAUCUGAAAUCUUUCUUCUCUUAGCUGCAUCAAUGGAAUCGAUUGGCUUCUCCGCAAGUAGGUUGCCUUCGCUAUCAUACACACAAUCCCUGCAAAAUAUUUGUUCAUGUCAGCCAUUAGUUAUGAUAAAAUACCACGUUUUCCCAUAUAUGUAUGUUACCUUUUGCAGUUUUUCUCCCAUCUUUUGAGGACAUAGUGGUUCGGCGGUUCAUUACUGUCUUCAACUUUGGCACCCCUCAAGAAGCGUACAAUAUGGCGGCAUGGGAUUCCUAAAGACUCAAAUAGCAUGCAGGAACAUUUCGCUACCAUGGUUGAGGUGUUACAGCAGACUUCUCUGACCUUCUUGGAAGCAUCGGUUAUGGCCACAAUUUUCACCCCGUCUACAAGUUCAGCACCCUGUACAUCGCAAUGCUCUCUAGCAGCAACUACCUCUUUUUGGAAUUCAUUGAACACCUCAUGUGUGAAUAGCUCACUGCCUUUCCUCUCUAUUCCCCACGUUGUUAGAAUCUGAGGCGUUGUAUGCAUGCUUGUGUUGUCAGCUAUCAACUCCUCUUGCCGCUGACAUUGUAAAGCUAUGUCAAACCUAAGCCAAAACUCCACGAGUGCGAGCUUCCGACCAAUAAAACGGUUGAAAAAUGAAUUAGCACUCUCUGACCUUGAUGUCGUUCUAAGAACCCCUGCCAAGAAUAUGUCCAUGAAGUAGGCUGGAAUCCAUGACUUGCGAAUCUUGUACCUAUUAGCCAACCACUCAUUGUCCUCCAAUUGAAAAUCAGAAAUCAAAGAAUGCCAUUUCGAUUCAAAUUCCUCGGCUGUUUCUGAACCCCAUACACAUGAGUUCACCCUCACCCAAAAUAGGGGUUCCUCCCUUAAGUGAGGACCAAUCUUUUCAGGAAGUUUUUUCAUAAUAUGCCACAUGCACAACCUGUGUUUGGUAUUUGGAAGAACAACACUCAUAGCCUCCCUCAUGCUAGCAUCCUCAUCGGUUAUGAUAAGUCUAGGCUCUUUCCCUCCCAUAGCUUUUAGGAAGGUCUCAAAUAACCACUUGUAAGAUGCAAUUCUCUCAUUUACUACGAACCCGGAACCAAAAAAAACAGAUUGCAUAUGAUGAUCGACUCCGGUGAAAGGUGCAAAAAUCAUAUUGUAGUGUUUCUUGGUGUAUGUUGAAUCAAAAGAAAGCACAUCACCAAAAUGACUAUAGUUUUUCCUUGCAGUGGCAUCUGCCCAAAAAACAUGCAACAUCCUACCAUCUUCAUCCACGUCAUAGUCAAAGUAAAAUGCUGGGUUGAGUUCCUUCAUUCUACCCAGUUGGUCCACAAACAUUUGAGCAUCACAGUUGUUGAUUUUAUUUUUGAAUUCACAAUAGUAAUUUUGUAGAUCUCUCUUCGUGCAUCCCACAUUCUCAAAACCACCAGCACUGACAUGAAGCAAUCUAAAUGCCUGCGAAGUACCUAUGCUUGCUUUCUGGCAUGAGUAAAGUGUGGUUUUGGCCUUCUCAUUGACUCGACGGUUGGAUCUGAUUAGGUGAUGCUUGCUAGGUGUCACCAGUCCAUGAUUGUGGUGCUCAACAAAUGAAGCUAUCUUGUACUUGUUAUCACUGGUCUUCUUCACAAAAAUGCGAGCAUCACAUCCACAUCUAGAUUCUUUCAUCUUACGUUUUUUCUUACUUUUAUCUUUUUUUGAGGGAUCGACAGUCCUCUUUCCAGUAUUCAAGGGAUGAGUAGUAUUUGUACCUUUUUCUGACUUAUAUCCUUGCCUUGCGCACAAAAAGCGCUUCCAAAUAACUACAUCCUCUACUAGCCUCCGCUGCCCAUUACGGACUCCGAAACCAGCGUGAUGUGCAUAUGACUUGUAAAAAGUUUCCACGGAUUCAACAUCAUCAAAUGUCAUCCCGACCACUGGCUUCAGUUCAUCAUCACACUCGGGUACGAAUGUUGAACACUGAACAACACAAAAGACAAGUUAAUUAGUAGAGCAUUGCAUAUCUAUCUUAAUUAAAAGCUAAUUAAAAUUAUUACAUGGAUUGUAGUCAGUACAAACUCACACAUAUGGGUGUGCUUGUUUUCUUUUGGGUGUACUGAAACCAUCGUUAUUAUUCAGUGAGGAGUCGAUAUGUGAUUGAUAAUCACCAAAAGCAUGUGCAGGCAUGGUACUGCCGUUGCUAGCUUCCAUAAUCUGCAGGGCUGUUUUGACCAUUAGCUUGUGCAGAAGGUAUAAUUCAUAAGUGAAUCAAAUCUCACGGAGCCUGGUGGAUAUAGUCUCCACAACACUGAUCUUGUGAGUUUGAAUCACUAUGCAUGCAUUGAUCAUUGUGUUGUUACCUGAGAGAGUAUCGUAGAUUGUUAAUUGAGUUCUCCUACAGAGACGGGGCAGAGACAGGGACAGAAGAUGGCAGCACAGGUUGCCAUGACGUUCAGUGGCCCUUAACCGUGCAAGAUAUGCGCAUCUCUUGCCGGCAGUGGAUGCACGGACGAAACCAGCGUCUCGGGCGGGCGGCCGGCGGCGCGUCGAGCACGACCUAGAAGAUCGUUCUUUUUGGGAAAGAAACGAUCAGGCUAGAGAAGAAGAUGGAGGAGAUAGACUGCAGGGGGUUUUUCACAAAAGGGAAGCCUCGGUGGGAGGGGCUUUUCACAAAGAGCAAAUUAACUGGAGGUGGGAUCUCCGCGUGAGAAUCGUAGCCGCAGGCAACACAUCGGAUGGUUAACGCUAAUUUGAUUGCACGAUUGCAUUAAUGAGGUGAUUGCACAGCAAACGGCCCCUUUACAUUUUUACACCAAUCUAUCAAUUCAAAUCAUGCUACCUCAUCAAUUCAAUCAUCUUGGACUUUUUGGCAGAACUUUUUUUCUUUUUAUACAUCAUUUUGUGACAUACUUCUUACUCCCUCCGAUCCAUAAUAAGUGUCAGAGAUUUAGUAUAAAGUUAAUACAAAGGUUUUAUUAUUUUUAAAUGUAAAAAAGGAUACUUUUACAUUUUUUUCCCAUUAGUUUUAAUUAAUUUUUAGAUUCUAUUUAUGCAUUUGUUUUAACACGGUUCCGCAGGGGGCAUCAUCUAGUAAAGAUUAGAGUGCUGAAGUACUAAUGCAUUUGCUAGACUCGUGUGCUCUGAUUAGACUAGAAAAAUGUUGAGCUAUCAGGAUAAUAAAGAGCGCUUUUGGUAUAUGAAGAAUGGUUUGAAUGUGUAAUGUUGGGAUAAACUUCCGCUUAACAGUAUCGAACAGAUAGUUUUUCAUCCCUAUCACAUAGUCACCAUAAUUUUGGGUUUGAACUGUAAGGCACUAUGGUGCUUACCACUUCUCAAUUAUAUACUGAGUCUCUGUAUCGAUAUUAUUAAGAUUUGUCGAUUGGCAGGAGGUGGUGUCCCAGAGUAUAAAAGAGCUCUGGAGCUAAGUGAGAUUUUGGGAGUUGACAUCUCUCCAGCACAGGUAUUUCUAUUAUCGCCAUGACACAUUGCUUAUGUACAGUCAUACACACCAAUUGACCUUUGACUAACAACUAAUACAACAAAGAUUAUGGAAAUUAUUGCUUCUUUGCAUGUUAAUUUCUGUCUACGUGAGAUGCAGGUUGUGCAUGGACAUUCUCCUUACAGAGAACUGGUGAAGCGGUAUAGCAUCAGAGCACAAUAAUACAUAAGUAGUCUUUAAAUUAUGUCCUAUAGAUAAUCUUGGUGAUUUUCAACCAAGAAUUUUUAAUUUCUUGAUGGACAUGUCAGCACCUGAAUGGAACACACCACCUUUUUCUGUUAGGACAGUUUCGAAGAUGAUCUCAUUGUUGCUGUUGGAAAAGGAGAGCCUGCGGCUGUGAUGGUUGAGUAUGGAUUUAGGUAAUCAUUGAUUUUUGCUAUCACAUCUGUACGUGAAAUUAGUUGCGUUUUUCUCAAGUAUUGUCUGUUAUGUGCAGAAAGGUUCUAUCUAUAGAUGACUAUUCAUCAUAUUUUACAGACAUUGACCCCCUAGCUCCAUUCAAGAAAUGGAAAGUGGGACAAUCAAACUGUAAAACCUUGAUGUCUGAGAAAGUGCACCCGGCAUAUGAUGUUUAUGCAGAGAGAGUUAAAGGUGUGUUUGUCGUUAGUGACCCUGUUGAUUGGGGUAGAGAUCUACAGGUAAUCCCUUGCUAUGUUUCAUUAAUGUAAAAUCUUUUGGGGCCAUGUUUUUUUCACUAUUCCUGGAAAUGGUAACUGCAUGUUUUGUCGACACCCUCCUCUAUAAACUUGUCUUCGACAUGUCAUACUUAUGGUUUUUUAUUUACAUGGGAAAGGUACUUUGUGACAUCUUGUCAACUGGUGGGCUUCCUGGAAAUGGAAAAGGAGGCCAGCCUCCUUUGUAUUUUGCGGCUGAUGAUCUUGAAUAUCAGGUAUGAGGAGUUCUUAUUUAUAGCACACCAUAUUUCUGAACAGAGGGGGUAUCAAAUCUGACCUUCAGUUUGGUCUCAUGAUAGUAAUCGGGGCAUCUCAAACAUUCUUUGUCCACCAAUGCUCUCAAGGUUCAAGGUUUGCUACAAAUUAAUAGAUGCAUCAACUUAAUUGCAGGCUUAGGGUCUUAUUGGUGCUUGAUACAAGUACAAGACUUCCAGUUUAAUUUUCUAAAUAACAAGUCUUGUGUAAUUAGCCCCUUGAUCUCAGUGGUAAAGGAAAUGGAUGUAAGGUUAUUUGCAUCCGUGUUUGUGUUGGGGACAGGGUUGCAUAAUAGAAGUACAGAGUUUCUACUUGCCUACGUACAAAUACAACAUAGCCGAUUUAUAUUCAGUGGAGGCAUUUACAUAGGACGGGCAUCUUGCUAAUAGACCAUGCAUAGUGUUGUAGAUUGUAGAUAGGUUUCGGACACCUUUUGUGCCUAGAUCUUAAAAAAAAAAAGAACUGAAGGAGAAAAAGGUACUCCCUCUAAUCCUAAAUUCUUGACUCAAAUUUGCCCAAAUAUGGAUGUAUCUAUUCUUAAAAGGCGUCUAGAUACAUGUAAUAUUUCGACAACAAUUUAGGAUCGGAGGGAGUAAUUUAUAUUCAGUGGAGGCACGUACAUAGGACAUCUUUUUAGAUGGUUUUAGAGUUCAAGAUCGAAAAGUGAACUUUUCAGGUAGUUCAGGUUGAAAGUGGACUCUUUCCUGAACAUACUUAAAUUGUACUCCCUCCGAUCCAUAAAAAGUGUCGCCAUUUUGUACUAAGUUAGUACAAGUUUUUAGGAUUGGAGGGAGUAUGUAGUUUGAAGGUAAGAUAAUAGUAUAACGUGAUGAAAUUGAUGCAGGUGGAUAUUCCCCUGAAUGACAUCCAGGCUCCAUGCAUGCAUAUAUAUGAUGACUGUUAGCAACAAUAAUAAAUUGCUUUGGCCUCCUAUGGCAGGCUGCAUUUCCUUCUGAGCGACUUGGGAUGGGUGCCUUCAGGAUAGCACUUGAAAGUAUCUUCAAUCAGUAAGCCAUUAUGUAAAUAAACUGUAUUUCUUAGCAUAGGUAUGUUAAAUACUUAUUUAUAUUAUGUGCAGAGUUAGUGAUCUUCCACUCAAGUAUACAUCUUAUGGGAAGCCUAAUCCAUUUGUGUUCAAGAAAGCAGCCAACAUACUAGAAAAACUUGCUAUGGAUAUUUAUCCAAACUCACAGCCAACAACGGAUGUAAAAGACCAUCAGUUCUCUACUAUCUACAUGAUUGGUGAUAAUCCUAAAGUUGAUAUCUAUGGAGUUUCGAAGGUUAGUCUAUGUUAUGAUACCUCUGAUUCAUCCGAUCACUGCCUGCAGAAGUUGACAGUGUUAGGAAAUUGUGCAAAUUAUCAAUAUGUCCUUCAGAACUCGUAUGACCUCAAAGUUGAACAGUUAGCAGGCAAUUCUGGAGAGAGAUGCUAACAAUUGAGGAAUUUACACUUUGCAGGCUGGCCCCCCUUGGUCAUCGGUUCUUACUAGGACUGGUGUUUUUAGGGGAAAGGAUAAUGAUCCAAAUUUUCCUGCUGAUUUGGUAUGUUUUAUUAGCGAUGAUUCUUUAGUUGGACCUUAUGAAUGUUUAGUCAUCUGUAACAAAUGUUUGCCAACAAAAUGUAUGUAUAUACCAUAAUAGUAGUUUCAGUCUUAAACCUGAAUAACAUAAGCAAUUGCUCAUGUUUCUGCACCUCGAUGUCUUGUACAAUUCAUUUUUUCAUCCUCUAGUAAAUCAGCUCAAAUAACUAGGGACUCGCUUUGGAGUUUGGUUCUCCAAACGGUUUAACUGUGCUAAUCCUAGGCGACUUCUUUUGUAUCGAGAAUUCAGCCAUUUCUCGUCCUUCUGUCACAUGUCUCCCCUGUUUAGCCAUUUGCUCAAUGUUAUUUGAGUUCGUGAUUGUUUUUUCUUACAAAUGAUGAACAACAAAUGCGUUCUUUUGGCAAAUUAUAUAUGUCACUCUUUUUCGGUUCCGUAGCACGGCACGGGUACUGUGGUAGUAACAGAAGAACUUGUAGUUGCUGUUGCAACAUACAGUGCAUUCAUGUUUAUUUACCAUGUAAAGUGGAAGCACCACUUUCCACUUCCAGUUUAUUUAUUUGCUUGCUGUUUUAAUUAUACAGGUUUAUGCCUUGCAGGUUGUUGAUACUGUUGAAGAUGCCAUCAACUGUAUUUUGGAAAAAGAAUGCAUACAGUGACAUUGUUGCAAAGGGACCUGGGCACAAAUGAUCCCUUCAUUGUUACUUUGCAUGCUUGGUAGCACAUUAUGACGUUAUCUAACUUGGAAGAACUGUGUCUUCCAAGAGUUCCAUCUCUGAUUUAUUGUACUUCACGGGAAAGCUCUCGAGACAUCAACACAUUAGGAAAACUAAAUCUGUUCCUAGAAUCAUGUGCAGUUAUGCACCCAUUAUUCUAACAGUGCAUUAAUUUCUCAGAAGUAAAAAGUGUUGUCUAAAUUAUUGUGGAUGCAAAAGAUAUUUUUUUUCUUGCAAAAUGUGAUCACAAGUGCACUAGAAAAAAAAGGCAAUGUACAUAUCAUUUACAGUUGAGUUCUUCUUGGUUUACCUUUUUUUGUUUUC
rnacentral:lncRNA from 1 species